GUACGUAGCCCAUACUCCCAUGAGUGAAAGGUAAAUAGAAAGCUGUAUGAUGUGCUAGACAUGACGGCAGUGGAUCAGUAUUGAAUGAUGAAAAAGAUGCAUGUUGAAACAUGUGAAACAAAAUAGGUCAUCUUUUAGGGAACAGGAAAACCAGCAGAAAGAACUGAGUUCCUCCUCCUACCACAGAAGCAGGGAGAUGCCCAUACAGCAGAUGAAAAGAAGGAAACCACUUUUGAAGACUGAUGACAGGCCUUAAUACUGUACCACUGAAAGUUGAUAGUAAAGUGGCUUCUGCUUUCUGCUGCUAAUACUGCACGACGGCUGAUACGAAGCUGGAGCUGCAGCAAGAAGCCCGG